AUGCGACCACAUGACGUUGAAUCACAGGUUCCCGUACAAUCACCGCAGUGAAGCAACCUCGAGAUUGGUCAGUACAUAGAUGGGCGGCCGCUUGGAAAUACCGGGUGUUAUA